GACGUAGGGCGCGAGCGUUGUCCGGAUUUAUUGGGCGUAAAGAGCUCGUAGGCGGCUCGUUGCGUCGGCUGUGAAAACCCGCAGCUCAACUGUGGGCUUGCAGCCGAUACGGGCGGGCUGGAGUUCGGUAGGGGAGACUGGAAUUCCUGGUGUAGCGGUGAAAUGCGUAGAGAUCGGAAAGAACACCAACGGCGAAAGCACUCUGCUGGGCCGACACUGACACUGAGAGACGAAAGCUAGGGGAGCGAAUGGG
rnacentral:rRNA from 1 species